ensembl:lincRNA uncharacterized LOC102030044
UUUUGGUGCCUGUUGAAUUUUGAGCCUCAUACACUUCCUAGUCAAAAACAAAUUAUUAAAAUCAGACAAAAGCAGCCGGGCAUGGUGGCGCACACCUGUAAUCCUAGCACUUGGGAGGCUGAGGCAGGAGGAUUGUUGCAAGUUUGAGACCGGCGUGGGCUACAAGGUGAGCUCCAGGCCAGCCUGAACUGCAUGGCGGGACCUUGUCUCAAAAAGACACACACACAAAAAUAACCCUAAAAAACCCCGAAUCACUGAAUGCAUGAAGUUGGUACAGUAUCUGAACAUACCAGGUGCUAUCCUCUUGGGUCCCGUGUUAACAUGCAUUCCUGUAUUUUUCUUCAGGAUUUAAAGAAGAAUGGACUAUUUCCGUGACUUGAGCUUUCCCUCCAGGAAGGAUCUUCGCACUGCUGGUGGGAUUCAGACCCUCAGGCUCCCGAGAGAGGGUUUGGAGUGGCCUCCUCGACCGAGGCGGAGGAGCGCGGAUUGGAAAAGGAAAACCUCACAGCAGCCCAGCUUGCCGCCCCCGUGGAGAUCCCCAGGCUCCGCAGAGCCAGGCUGGGCUGCCUUCCUCCCCUCGCCUCUCCUCCUCCUCCGUCGCGUUUUCCUCCUCCCACUGUCUUCUUUUCUGCUUAAAGUUCGGCGACUCGGCUUGCCUCUCCUGGCCUUUCCCUCGGAAAGCGGAAGCCAGACCGCCCAGCGGCCACGGGCCGAGCGGCCCCAGCUCUAUCCCAGCUCGCAGCCGGACGGGCAUCCCCGCGCCCGCCUCCCUGCGCCGGUGACACCUCGGAACCCGGGCUCGGCCUCUCCACCGUCCUGCAGGUGUGCAGCCCUGCACGUCCUGCAGGUGAGCAGCAGGACGACCCGGGCGGCAAAGGAGAGCGGGCCUCUCGCCCCUCUCCCUGGGCCCCAGGUUUACACCACAAAGUUUGGAGGGUGGGUACACCUCUACCCGGGCCACUUGGUCCCCCAAACUCACGGCUGACUAAUCUUAUAUGACAAAAGCCUGUGAUGGAUUUGCUAUAUGUUAAUUCACAAUGCCCUUUCCUCCAGAAUUUAACUAUAAGUUAAUACACACCGGAAACCACGCGCAUACACGCCCGUUAAUGGGCUUAGGUAUUAGCGAGUCCUAACGAUGCAUACAAAUGUGCUCUGCGCUCUGUAGGCCCCUCAAGAUUUAUGGGCCUUGAGCUCUCUGAAGCUGUAAACAAGGAGAAAAAAAGAGAAAGCGAGAGAGACUGGGGGAAAGAGACAGAGGCCUGAAUCGCCACUCCAGAUUGUGGGAGAGAAGGGAUUCUUAUGUAUUUUCCUUGCCUUAGGAGCUUGGUGCGUGUGGGGUUUUGGCAUUGGUCCGGGGGUGGUGUGCUGCCUGAAUGCUGGCACGCGUGGGCAGCCUGUGGUUUGUGUGCUGGGGUAGGAGGACCUCUGCCUCCCUUGAGUCACUGUGUAGGGGCCUAAACAUAGCAGGCGUUUGUGGACGCGUUUGUGUGCGUGCACCGUGUUAGGUGGGAAUGUCUGCGUGCCCCACGCACAAGUGACAAGGAGGCCUCCCUCUGAGCCAGGCUUCUGUCCCCCAACCUGGUGAACAAAUCUCUAACAGCAAUCAUAAUAACAAUAAAUAACAGAACAAUAAUAAAAACAGUAGUUAACAGUCCCUCCCUAGUAGGAUAACAAUAAAAUGCCAGAGGAGGCAUUUUGAGGAGCGGGUAAAGGAGUCACCGUGGCAGAAUCUAAAAGGAAGACAAGAAAGGAAGGAAGUUAGCUUCUUUAAAUGUCUUCGAGGGGCUGGGGUUGGGAAUCCCCUCCCCAGGCAGGGUCCUUGGGCCAGAGGAGGGGAGGAAAGCCGGGAGGCCACUUUCCUGCUGCUUUUUCUCUGCUGUUUGCUUCGUGCGAGCAGGAAAGAGAUUCCACAUAUGGGGUGGUUUGUAGCUUUGUAGCUUUGUAGGCUUUCUGGAAACCCCUGUUUUAAAGAGGAGGCCAAACGUGCAGGGUCAGGCCGAGGGGCAGGACCACGGUCUCGCUCCCGGCCGCGGGGCGCAGAAGUGCCUGAGAGGACGAGCUUCGGGCCGGGGAGGAAGCAGGAAAAUAUUUAUGGCUGUCCGCCCAGGAGUGAGGAGAGCCAGGGAGUGAGACUGGGGCUCCCGCAAGCCCAGUGAAAGUUCCCUUCCUGAGGUCUUUUUAAAGAGAAGGGGGAGGUUGAGGCGCCCUGAAUUUUCCUCCUGGAGUUUGGAGCCCAGCGGAUUUCCGCAGAGGAGGCGAAGAUCGCGGCCCGGAUUCCUGCGGUGUCCACCUCGUUCUCUCCAGGUACAGUUUUCUGAUAAUUUCAUCAGUUAACUCAUUUGGGGGAGGUGGGAGGUAAAGCUGUAGAGAUGCGUCGUUAGCGGGAAAGGAAGCCGCCCCACCGUUUCGGGUCUAACGAAAUCCCUCCUUUAACAACAAUUGUACCAACAAACAAACAGAAAAAGAGGGAGAAAAUAUAAUAACACACAACCCACUUUUUAAAAGAGAAAAAGAAAAGAAAAUGUCCAUCCCCAAGAGCACGAGAACUUCUAAAAGAUUUAAUUCACAAUCCUUGUCAAAGGUUUGGAUUCUUUUUCAACAGCGGUGACCCAUUCGGUCUGAAAAGAGACGCAGAGGUCCGGGAUCCACUGAGUCACUUCUUUUAAUCCCCUGCCCGCCCCCCAACAAAGAUUCAGAGGGGACCACUGGGCUCCUCGCAUUGGAGAGGAGAACAGCACCGCGUGGAAGACAGUGUACUGCGAUAACCAGAGGAUGAAAUAGCAGUGAAAUAGAACAGGGCGAAGCACUGAGCGCAGGGAGAAGGCCCAGGCCUUAAGGGUCAGCGAGCGGCGGGCCGGCGAGGAGCUGCCCCAGGUGGUGGGCACCGGGCACUGGAGAAGGCGUGGGCCGUCUGCUUCUUUGGCUCACUGGCUCACUCAUUCGCUUGCCCCGGAGGCCGGGUCAGCUUCCCCGAUGAGAGGGUUUGGGGUCCAAGACUGGGCAAAGUGACUCAAGCCAGCUUCUGCUUUUUCAUUUUUCUCCCGUAGGCCUCUCCACUUGCCCCGUUCUCACCCACCAGGACACUGACGGAAGGGGCUUCUGGGCUGCCCCCCAUCCACUCCUGCUUGGCUUCCCAAAGUCCAGCGACCUCCAACCCUUCCUGGGGGGAAAAUACCUGUACCCAGGCACCUCAGCCCCUGCUAUGUGACCUGGCUCCCUCAGGACUAUGGUACAAAGAUGAAGAAAGAACAGCUCUCUCUCCCUCGGAGCCGUGUUUACAUCUAGUUCUACUGAUCCAUCCACAUCUGGAGGGUUUAUUUAUAACUCCUAUAACUCUUCCUGUUUCGAGGCACUGGUGGCUCUAUUGACAGACUGAUGCCUACAAAAUAUUGCUCUAUCUCUAACCAUACCUAAAUGUGCUGUGGUUGUAUUUACAGAUUUAUGUUUGAGGAAAAUAUAAUUAUUUCCAUUGUAUUUGUGCAUAUACAAUGGUUAUAGAAGCAGAUUUAUAUAUGGGAAAAUAUAUGACUCCCUUACAGCCAUCCAGCUUUAUGGACAUUUGAUAUUCUGACAGAUUUAUACCUCUGAGCAGCUUAUAGAUAAAUGUAUAUCAUUAGAAUUAUGUAUCAGGAGAUAUAUACUUAUUGAUUGUGAUAUAGAGUAGUUAGAGCAUUCACUUGGAGUCAUAUAUGCCUAUGGAGAUAUUUCUAUAUUAUUAUCACUAUCUAUAGGCACAUCUAUUUAUAACCACAUAGUUAUAAAAAUAGACGUAAGUAAUUAUAGUCCUAUAUGUACAUGCUGUUAUCUCUCUAGAGUUAUAGACACUUUGGAAUAUAACUCUAUAGAGAUAUCCGUAUGUAUAUAAGGCGUAAUUAUCUCGUGAUGUGUGUGCGCUGGGAUUUAGGCCAGUGUAUCUGAACAGACAUAUUUAUGUGUAGGGGCCGGGGGAGACUUGUUCACGGAGAUAACUGCGGAGGGCCCACUGAAAAACUGUAUCUGGCCAUCUAAGAAACUAGCUGGCAGAGUUUCUUACUCUGGAAGAGAUGGAGUUACAAAAGAGUAAACAGCGGAUAGGAAGCAUCCCAGAGGGGAGACAAUGGAG